AAGGAGCCUGGGGCGCCGGCGCCUGCUUGGAGUACCCAUAAUACAGUGAGCCCACCUUCCUGGUCCCCAGACAUUUCAGGAGGUCGGGAAAUUUUUAAACCCAGGCAGCUUCCUGGCAGUGCCAUUUGGAGCAUCAAAGUGUCUGUUACAUAGGGCCAUGGGUCUGGAUUUCCAGGAAAGCGGAGACCUCGAGGUGCAGGACUGUCGGGGCGAGGUGGCCGAGGCAGGUCAAAGCUGAAAAGUGGAAUCGGAGCUGUUGUAUUGCCUGGGGUGAGGCUUGCUGUGUCUACUGCAGAUAUUUCAUCAAAUAAGGAUGAUGAAGAAAACUCUGUGCUCGAUAUGGUUGUGUUGUUUUCUAGCAGUGACAAAUUCACUUUGAAUCAGAGUCUCCAUUUAAAAUAUGUUCUGUUUUCUUAACUUCAGGAUAUAUGUGUAGUUUGUGGCAGUUUUGGCCAAGGAGCAGAAGGAAGAUUACUUGCCUGUUCUCAGUGUGGUCAGUGUUACCAUCCAUACUGUGUCAGUAUUAAGGUAAACAUCCUUAAACUGAGUUUACAGAUCACUAAAGUGGUUCUUAGCAAAGGUUGGAGGUGUCUUGAGUGCACUGUGUGUGAGGCCUGUGGGAAGGCAACUGACCCAGGAAGAUUCCUGCUGUGUGAUGAUUGUGACAUAAGUUAUCACACCUACUGCCUAGACCCUCCAUUGCAGACAGUUCCCAAAGGAGACUGGAAGUGCAAAUGGUGUGUUUGGUGCAGACACUGUGGAGCAACAUCUGCAGGUCUAAGAUGUGAAUGGCAGAACAAUUACACACAGUGCGCUCCUUGUGCAAGUUUAUCUUCCUGUCCAGUCUGCUAUUGAAACUAUAAAGAAGAAGAUCUUAUUCUGCAAUGAAGACAAUGUGAUAGGUAUAGAUGGAUGCAUGCAGUUCGUCAGAACUUAAAUACUGAGGAAGAAGUGGAAAAUGUAGCAGACAUUGGUUUUGAUUGUAACAUGUGCAGACCCUAUAUGCCUGCGUCUAAUUCAGUGCCUUCCUCAGACUGCUGUGGAUCUUCACUUGUAGCACAAAUUGUCACAAAAGUAAAAGAGCUAUUAGACCCACCCAAGACUUAUACCCAGGAUGGUGUGUGUUUGACUGAAUCAGGGAAGACUCAGUUACAGAGCCUCACAGUUACAGUUCCAAGAAGAAAACUGUCAAAACCAAAACUGAAAUUGAAGAUUAUAAAUCAGAAUAGCGUGGCCGUCCUUCAGACCCCUCCAGACAUCCAAUCAGAACAUUCAAGGGAUGGUGAUAUGGAUGAUAGUCGA
rnacentral:lncRNA from 1 species